rnacentral:rRNA from 1 species
CCUACGGGAGGCAGCAGUGAGGAAUAUUGGUCAAUGGACGAGAGUCUGAACCAGCCAAGUAGCGUGAAGGAUGACUGCCCUAUGGGUUGUAAACUUCUUUUAUAAAGGAAUAAAACGAGGCACGUGUGCCUUUUUGCAUGUACUUUAUGAAUAAGGAUCGGCUAACUCCGUGCCAGCAGCCGCGGUAAUACGGAGGAUCCGAGCGUUAUCCGGAUUUCUUGGGUUUAAAGGGAGCGUAGAUGGGUUGUUAAGUCAGUUGUGAAAGUUUGCGGCUCAACCGUAAAAUUGCAAUUGAUACUGGCAGUCUUGAGUACAGUUGAGGUAAGCGGAAUUCGUGGUGUAGCGGUGAAAUGCUUAGAUAUCACGAAGAGCCCCGAUUGCGAAGGCAGCUUACUAAACUGUGACUGACAUUGAUGCUCGAAAGUGUGGGUAUCAAACAGGAUUAGAUACCCCAGUAGUC